rnacentral:rRNA from 1 species
AUUGAACGCUGGCGGCAUGCCUUACACAUGCAAGUCGAACGGUAACAGGUCUUCGGAUGCUGACGAGUGGCGAACGGGUGAGUAAUACAUCGGAACGUGCCCGAGAGUGGGGGAUAACGAGGCGAAAGCUUUGCUAAUAACGCAUACGAACUCAGGAUGAAAGCAGGGGAACGCAAGGACCUGCGCCCACGGAGCGGCCGAUGGCAGAUUAGGUAGUUGGUGGGAUAAAAGCUUACCAAGCCGACGAUAUGUAGCUGGUCUGAGAGGACGACCAGCCACACUGGGACUGAGACACGGCCCAGACUCCUACGGGAGGCAGCAGUGGGGAAUUUUGGACAAUGGGCGCAAGCCUGAUCCAGCCAUGCCGCGUGCAGGAUGAAGGCCUUCGGGUUGUAAACUGCUUUUGUACGGAACGAAAAGACUCUGGUUAAUACCUGGGGUCCAUGACGGUACCGUAAGAAUAAGCACCGGCUAACUACGUGCCAGCCGCCGCCGUAAGAC